CGUGGAACCGACCAGUUCGAUUUGUGAAAUUUUGAGUGCCCAAAACUAAGCACUGUACUUCUACGACUUACCUUUGUCCUGCUGCUGCUACUACAGAAAUUGCAUUUGCUAUAGACUGCUAAUAACUGCCUGCUCUGCCGCGUCCGCCAUAGUUGACCUUGUGCCUGUUUAUCCAAAUUUUGAUUGUAAAUCCGCAGCGCCAGUUAUUGGUUCCGGAGAGGACGAAUGAUUACUCGUGGGUGCCUCCAGAAUUCUGCUUGAUAUCGCCACCUUGGGCUCGGAAAGGCCUACACGAAAGACCUUUGCAGCUUAUCGUAUGAACCCCUUUCUUUCAUCAAAUUUAUAUUCUCCGUAAACUCUUAAUUUCUUCCGUCUGGCACCCAAUAUUUCUUCUCGAUAUCUUCCACGUGCCGGCAAAAGUUAUUCCACAUCGACGGCGAAAUUUCUGUCAUUAUCUCCUUUGUUAAAUUUUCUAGUUCAGGC